rnacentral:tRNA from 4 species
GGACGGGUGGCCGAGUGGUUAAUGGCAGCAGACUGUAAAUCUGCCGCCCCUUGUGGGCUACGGAGGUUCGAAUCCUCCCCCGUCCACCA